rnacentral:rRNA from 1 species
CCUACGGGAGGCAGCAGUGAGGAAUAUUGGUCAAUGGACGAGAGUCUGAACCAGCCAAGUAGCGUGAAGGAUGACUGCCCUAUGGGUUGUAAACUUCUUUUAUAUGGGAAUAAAAUGUUCCACGUGUGGGAUUUUGUAUGUACCAUAUGAAUAAGGAUCGACUAACUCCGUGCCAGCAGCCGCGGUAAUACGGGGGAUCCGAGCGUUAUCCGGAUUUAUUGGGUUUAAAGGGAGCGUAGGUGGAUUGUUAAGUCAGUUGUGAAAGUUUGCGGCUCAACCGUAAAAUUGCAGUUGAAACUGGCAGUCUUGAGUACAGUAGAGGUGGGCGGAAUUCGUGGUGUAGCGGUGAAAUGCUUAGAUAUCACGAAGAACUCCGAUUGCGAAGGCAGUUCACUGGACUGCAACUGACACUGAGGCUCGAAAGUGUGGGUAUCAAACAGGAUUAGAUACCCCUGUAGUC